rnacentral:rRNA from 1 species
GAUGAACGCUGGCGGCGUGCUUAAUACAUGCAAGUCGAGCGAACAGACGAGGCGCUUGCUCCUCUGACGUUAGCGGCGGACGGGUGAGUCACACGUGGAUAACCUACCUAUAAGACUGGGAUCACUUCGGGAAACCGGAGCUAAUACCGGAUAAUCUAUUGAACCGCAUGGUUCAAUAGUGAAAGACGGUUUUGCUGUCACUUAUAGCUGGAUCCGCGCUGCUUUAGCUAGUUGGUAGGGUAACGGCUUACCAAGGCAACUAUGCGUAGCCGACCGGCGAGGGUGAUCGGCCACACUGGAACUGGAACACGGUCCAGGGUCCUACGGGAGGCAGCAGUAGGGAAUCUUACGCAAAGGGCGAAAGCUUGCCGGAGCGACGCCACGUGAGUGAUGAAGGUCUUCGGAGCGUAAAACUCUGUUAUGGGGGAAGAACAAAUGUGUAAGGAACUAUGCACGUCGUGACGGUACCUAAUCAGAAAGCCACGGCUAACUACGUG